rnacentral:lncRNA from 1 species
AAACAAAGAAGGAAUGUAUAAAGAAGAAUGUGCAUGUACCAGAAAAAGGAAAGAGUGUUUAAAGAGCUUGGUCACUUUGUUUUGCAGGGAGACCCAGGCCCACAAGGACUCCAAGGAGAGCAGGGUGAUGCUGGCCUAGAUGGUGCAGCAGGUCGAAGAGGCCCACCAGGUAUAAAGAAGAUUCUUUCCAUCUUGCAUCUGUUUCCCAAGGAUCUUCAGACAUAUGUUUAUGAUUUCUCCAGUGAAAGGGGGUCUGCAAGACCUGUAAUAUC